GCCUGGGUGGCUCAGUCGGUUGAGCGUCCGACUUCAGCUCAGGUCACGAUCUCACGGUUCGUGAGUUCGAGCCCCGCAUCAGGCU
rfam:Felis catus isolate Cinnamon breed Abyssinian chromosome D2, whole genome shotgun sequence.